GAUAAGACGCAUUGAAUCCUCUCCCAGAAAUAGAGGCAUCAGACUCGAAAUACAAGAACAUGGCGUCUCCGGAUGAUCGAAUUGGUCCAGGAACCUCCCGGCCACAGAUGGUGUUAAUUGAGUUUUAACACUUACAAUGGGAAAAAGUGGCUUGAAACCCAGUGGCGCUGCCAGAACCAUCGGACACAAACUUUACCCAAAGAAUAUGGCCGACGAUAGAGUUUUCCUGCCAGAUGCUCCAUUUCCUUCCCGGAUGGUGAUUAGAAUGAAAACAAUAUGAAGCGAGAAGAGGUUUACAUGAAAGACAGCAUGAGCCGGUUGCCAGGAGAGCUGAGAAUGCUCCAG